GUAUGGGGUUUUGGUUCUUAAGCAUGGAUUCCGUUGGCUCCUUCCGUGCUCCCCACCAAGUUAAAAACUUUUCUGUAGGAGGAAGAGGGCCUCCGUAGACGGGCAGGGAGAGGGAACUGAGAGACAGAUAAGAGCCGGUUCCAAGUUUUAGAGGUGGAGAAGUAGGAGAUACAGCAGGGGACCGACGAGUGUGAGGCUGGAGCCCCCAGCAGUCGUGGUUGUGACCCACUGGCCUGUCUUGUAUUGUAAAAGCAGGACCAGGCUGGAGUACGGGGAGCCACGCAGACGGGAAACGCAUCCACAGGAGGAGCGCUCAGAUGCCCAGGCGGAGGCUGGCCCAGAUGUGCUGGAUGGCUCCUCCUGGGCUGCAGAACCAGGAGGCCCCGCAGGGGUGUUUGCUGGGGGAAGGGAGUUCCCUGCAGCCCUGUUUGGACUUGAUAACAGCGGAGAGCGCCACGGGCAGGAGAGACGGCGGUGACGCCCAUGGUGCUGCCCUGCAGAGAGGCAGAGGGACACCCAGCCCACUGGCCUCCACCAGAGCUGCAUAUGAGGGACACCUGGGAGCUUUAAAAACACAGAAGCCUGGAAAUAACCCAAGGGUCCAUGUGGGUGAAGGAGUAAACCAAGUGUGGUCUACCCAUGCACUGGAAUAGUAUUCAGCCCUAAAGAGGAAGGAAAUCCUGACCCAGGCUACAGCAUGGAUGAACCUAGAGGAUGGUAUGCUCAGUAAAGUAAGCCAGUCUCAGAAGGACAGACACUGCAUGAUUCCACUCAUAGGAGAGAUGGCGAUGGGGGCCUGCCCCACGGCCCAGUGGUUAAGUGCGCGCGCUCUGCUUCGGCAGCCCAGGGUUUCACCGGUUUGAAUCUUGGGCUUGGACAUCGCACGGCUCAUCAGGCCACGCUGAGGCGGCGUCCCACGUGCCACAACUGGAAGGACUCACAACUAAAAAUACAACUCUGUACUGGGGGGAUUUGGGGAGAAAAAGGAAAAAUUUAAAUCUUUAAAAAAAAAAUGGUUAAGAUGGUAAAGUUUGUUAUGUAUGUCUUAUCACACACAAAAAAGCCUGGUCCAACCCCACCCACCACCCCAGAGAUCCUGAUGCAGCUGAUCUGGGGUGUGGCCAGAGUGUUGGGGUUUUUGAGGCUCCCAGGCGAUUCUGAUGUGCAGCCAAGUUCAGAGCCCCAGUCCCCAAGGCUUCAGCUGCACUGCCUUCCCUGUCCCCAUUUGUCAGUGUCGAGAGUUAAGGGCCUGAGCAGAGCGUCUAUCCCACACCUGUGCCUGGCUCUGAUGUGGCCCUCUGGGUCCUGUCCCUUCUGGAGAAGGACCUGAGGCACGCUCGGUCCAUGGCAUUGCCACCUGCUCCCCCUAAGUGCCCGCCCAGCACGGGGCAGCACCCUCAACACCAGCAGGUGCUGGAAGAGGAUGCUGACCCUCACCCUGGUUU
rnacentral:lncRNA from 1 species